AGGGGGUAGAUAACUUUGCUGUAUUGCUGACGUCAUAGCGCUAUUACGUCAUGAGUAACAACCGUGACGUCACAGUGCGACCGGAAAUUACGUUGCAACUACCUACGUCAUCAGCUUUCGCAAAAACACCAGCGAAGAUAGACACAGGAUGUGGUGUAUGGAUCGUCCGACCUCGUUGGUUGGCGAGGUUUGCGACACCGAAGUGGUUCCUUGCAGCGAUAUCGUUUUUCAUCCUGAUCCAGAGUAUGUUGGUGUCGGGAAUCACAAGUUCCGUGAUCACAACUAUUGAAAAAAGGUACGGGCUGAAAAGUGCUGAGUCAGGUCUCAUAGUGUCCAGUUUCGACAUCGGAAGUUUAAUUGUCGUCGUUUUUAUUUCGUAUUUCGGCGGCAAAAGCCACCGUGCGAGAAUCGUGGGAAUCGGGGCCAUUGUUGUGUCAAUAGGUGCCGCCAUGUUCGCCUUCCCUCAAUUUAUUUCCUCCCCGUACCAACCCCCUAACCACUUGCCACAAACAUCUUAUAAACUGAUGUGUCGACCGAACGCAACGAACACGUCCGAUGUUUUGUGCCAAGCGCAGGAAGCAAACGCAGUUUACCUUUCAUUAUUCGUGGUUUCAAACAUGAUCAUGGGAAUUGGGAGCACACCGAUAUACACGCUCGGUACGACUUUUAUUUACGAUAAUGUUGCAAGGGACGACGCUUCGUUUUAUAUCGCGAUUGUAUACGCCAUGGGAGCUGUAGGACCAGCGGUCGGGUACCUCCUCGGUGGGUUCUUUCUCACUUUUUACAUCGACCUUGGAAACCUCAUUUCAUCUGAUGACCCUCGGUUCCUGGGAGCUUGGUGGUUGGGUUAUCUCAUCAGUGCUGGUUUGAUCCUCGUGUCGUCUUUCUUCCUCAUCUUGUUUCCAAGAAAGUUAAAGUUUAAUCCUCCCCUCGAAACGCCGAUGGAUAGCAGUUUAGGGGAAGUCCCGUCCACCCCCGUUACCGAGACGACCGUCGAGGAAAACUUUGAAAGUUUGGAUUCUUCUGUUAUUGGGUUUGGGGAUAAUUUAAAAGAUUUACCGAAAGCGUUUCUGUCCCUCCUCACCAACCCCAUAUACCUUUGCGUCACAAUCUCUGCAACUCUGGAAUUUUCCACCGUCACCGCUUUUCUUACGUUUGUGCCAAAAUAUUUACAAAGUCACUUCAACAGUGAUACUGUCAAGUCAAGCAUUAUGACUGGAGCGAUCCUCGUUCCCAGUGCAGGGACCGGCAUCUUACUCGGGGGUUACGUCAUAAAGAGGUUUCGUCUAAAUAUGACGGGAUGCGCGCAAACCGCGUUGCUAAGCAACCUGUUGUCCCUUCUUCUCUUCAUCUCAGUUUUUUUCAUCAGCUGCGAAACCCCGUUCAUAAUCGGGGUUAACAAGUUCGUUGAGGACCCCAUGUCUAAUGUUUUAAUGAAAGGUUUGCCAUCUGCUUGUAACUCCGAUUGUUCGUGCGAAACAUCGACGUUUAGCCCGAUAUGUAUAAGUGGACUUACAUAUUAUAAUCCAUGUUAUGCUGGAUGUGGUGUUAAAGUGGAUGGCAACGCAACGCAGAUGUUCAGUAAUUGUUCGUGCCACACCCCGGUUGCCGGUAGCAACGAUGACAUCGGGGUGGCUGGGUCAUGUGACCGUGAUUGUUCCGCUUCGUUGAUUCCGUUCUUGUUCUGUUUGUUCCUCGUAACCAUGGCCACGGUAUGCGCGCACACACCUUCACUCAUGGUAACUUAUCGUUGCGUCAGAAACGAUGAACGCCCGUUUGCUGCCGGGUUGCAAUUCGUGUUUCUACGAACUUUGGCCCCCCUACAGCUUACAUCCCGGCCCCAAUAUACUUUGGUUCAGCCAUCGACCAAGCUUGUCUUUUAUGGAAAGGAUCCACGGAUGAAUGUGUGGGCUCCGAUGGAUCAUGUUUGUUAUACGACGCCGACAAGUUCCGCUCCAUUUUCUUCGGGGUGGCGUUCGCUCUAAAGAUUGUUGCAUUUUGUUUCGUGUUUAUGUCAUGGGUGUUGUGUCGUCGUAAACAUUCCGAGCACACGCACACCACCCGGUGGAGACGACACAGAAGAAGAAAGAUGCGGGAGAAGAGGGAGGGGAAGAUGGAACAAGAGGGGAAGAUGGGACGGGCCAAUAAUCCAAAUACAAUAUCAGGGAUUACAGAUUCCAGCAUCCCUGAGAUAUAUGUUUCGAACCCCCAACCCUUGCCAGUGUUGCCAGAUACAAAUAAUCAAGUGGUUUCCAGUGGAAGUGAAACAUCGGUGUGCAGCACUGGAAGCAAAUCAAGCAACAAACCUUUGAUAAAAAACGAACUCGAACUGAAAACUAUUUCCACCAAUCAGAAACCAGCCAUGAAUUCUAGAAGCGAAGAUCCCUUGUAACAAUCGAGAACAAUUAGUUUUAAACAAUCAUUUAUUGUUAACAUAGGCAACAGACCUGGGGUGGCAGGGUAGGCGGGCCGACCCCUAUAUUUUGUACUGCAAUAAUCAGUAAACAUUACAACCAAUAAGUUUGUGCGCCCGACUACCCCUGCCUCCCCUGUGUUAUAAAAACUUUGGUACCCAUGAAUCGGUUAUUUAUUAUUUUUAUCAUUCCUAAAACAAUGAAAUACGUUGCGUGCCUUGCCACCAUAAAGGCCAUAGUUGUAAAUAUAUCUUUUGUUUUUAUCAAGUGCAAAUUGUGAUUUUUACUAACUUUGAUGUAUCUUGUUUGCCAGUAUUACGCACUAAUGUCCAAUACCUCUGGGUGAGUUCUAUGCACUACAGAACGAACUUGAAGUUCCUACUUUAAUACAGAAUAGUGCAACAAA